AGAAAACAGUAAAUAUUCAUUAAGACAGAAUGAAGAACUGUAAAACAGAAGAGACGUAUCUAGAAGGGUGAAGCCUAUGCUCCAGUCCUCACUUCAGUAUUUCAACAUUUCAUGCCAAGUGAAAUAGACUCUGGCAGAAAUGGAAAGAGAUACCCUAUAAAUACCCCAGAAGACCUGGAGAAAACUGUGAAAAAGUAAUACAAGCAUGACAAGGACUGAAGUCAGGAGGCAAAGGAAGAAAACUUGAAUAGAUCUACCUUAAAAGCUGUUACAGGUGCUAAUGGAAGGGAACAGCAUGAGUGGAAGCUUUGCUGCAGGAAGCUGACUGAGUGCCAUUGGGGAUACAGGAGGAAGCCUGGGAGAGAAAAGCUCUGUCUAUUAUUUCUUUGUAAAAGCCAUUGAAACAAAAUGAAACACUAAUAAAUAUGUACAGUGAACAACUACCCAAUAGGUAAGUAUUUUGAAGCUAAAUAUAUGUUGUGUUUUGUUCUUUUGUUUUGUUAUUUAAUGUGACUUUUCAUGUGAAUUAUGAGGGCACUGCAGCCUUGUGGAAUGUAUUUUAGCUUUGAUUCAUGAGAAAAUGAAUCAGGGAAUGGGCCUAUUUUGUUAAAUCAGUCUGUGUUUCUACUGCGUUUUGUGUUUUUAUAAACUGAAAAAGAUAUUAUUAAGUUGAUUGCAAAGAUUGUUUUCCAGACUUAUAUGUAUGAUUUUGGAAUUAGACCUAGUCAAUUUCAGUACAGAAUAUGUAGAAUAAGUUUAGGCUUGCUAGCAUUUUUGAGUUCCUUAUUUUCAUACACUACCCCCAGAAAUGUCAUCUUUUCCAGUAUAUUCAACCUCUGUUCUCAUUAGUGUUCUCUUUGGUCUUAAAUGAGAACUAGAUGUUUGAAAUGACACAGCAAAAACUUACGAGGAAAAGUAAAACUAAUGUUUGAGUUUUGAACAUAUGGAAAUUGAAAAAUUUUAUUUACAAAAUUCCAAGAACACACUUAAAAUUAAGUGUCCAUAUUGACAAAUUUUGAGACUUAAAAAAGGCUAUCCUGUUAUGGAUCAAAAUGAAAAAAAAAAAAAAAAAAGGAAAAUAACAAAA